GCUGCUCUCAUAUGAGAGCUCCAAACAAGCUCUCAAGGUGCAUUUGUAGGAGAACAUAGGGUAGUCAAGCUUCCAAGACUCCAGACACAUCCAAAUGAGGCGCUGCAUAUGGCAGUCUGCCUUUCUUU
rnacentral:snRNA from 1 species